rnacentral:rRNA from 1 species
UGCGUAAUAGCUCACUGGUCAAGCGCUCCUGCGCCGAAAAUGAACGGGGCUAAGUGACAUGCCGAAGCUGUGGGAUAUGCAAAUAUCGGUAGGGGAGCGUUCCGUUGUAGAGUGAAGCACUAGCGGCAAGCAGGUGUGGACGAAGCGGAAGUGAGAAUGUCGGCUUGAGUAGCGAAAACAUUGGUGAGAAUCCAAUGCCCCGAAAACCCAAGGUUUCCUCCGGAAGGUUCGUCCGC